GGCGGGGUGGCAGAGUGGUCAUGCAGCGGCCUGCAAAGCCGUCCACACCGGUUCGAUUCCGAUCCCCGCCUCCA
rnacentral:tRNA from 1 species